AUGGAGAUAGGACGCAGCAACUCACAGAGCAACCAGGACCCAGAAAUCGCUUAAGAGACCGCGGCAAAGUAACUUAACUGAGUUGCCUUCUUCCAUAUUUUCACGCCCCUUUCAUCCAGAACAUUUUUUUUCUUGAACUGCUUCCAUGGAGGACUCAACCUCCCCGAAGCAAGAAAAAGAAAACCAAGAAGAACUAGGGGAAACAAGGCGGCCAUGGGAAGGAAAGACAGCAGCUUCUCCCCAAUAUUCUGAGCCUGAGUCGUCUGAGCCCUUGGAGGCGAAGCAGGGGCCAGAAACUGGACGCCAGUCCCGAAGCAGCCGUCCUUGGAGCCCGCAGUCUAGAGCCAAGACGCCUCUGGGUGGCCCCGCGGGACCAGAAACAUCAUCACCUGCUCCUGUCUCUCCGCGGGAGCCCUCUUCCUCUCCUUCUCCCCUGGCUCCGGCCAGACAAGACCUCGCGGCACCACCUCAGUCGGACAGGACCACGAGUGUGAUUCCUGAAGCUGGGACACCUUAUCCUGAUCCUUUGGAACAAUCAUCUGAUAAAAGAGAAUCAACUCCUCAUCACACAAGCCAGUCAGAAGGAAACACCUUUCAACAGUCUCAGCAACCCAAACCCCACCUGUGUGGACGAAGGGACGUGAGCUAUAACAACGCUAAACAGAAAGAGCUGAGAUUUGACGUUUUUCAGGAGGAAGACUCAAACAGUGACUAUGAUUUACAGCAGCCGGCGCCUGGGGGCUCUGAAGUGGCCCCCAGCAUGCUUGAGAUCACCAUUCAGAAUGCUAAGGCUUACCUGCUGAAGACUAGCAGCAAUUCGGGCUUUAAUCUAUAUGAUCAUCUUUCUAAUAUGUUGACCAAGAUAUUAAAUGAGCGUCCUGAAAAUGCUGUUGACAUCUUUGAAAAUAUUAGCCAAGAUGUGAAGAUGGCACAUUUUAGUAAAAAAUUUGAUGCACUACAAAAUGAGAAUGAGUUGCUUCCAACAUAUGAAAUAGCAGAAAAGCAAAAGGCUCUUUUUCUCCAGGGACAUUUGGAAGGAGUUGACCAAGAAUUGGAAGAUGAAAUAGCAGAAAACGCUCUUCCAAAUGUAAUGGAGUCAGCUUUUUAUUUUGAACAAGCUGGAGUUGGUUUGGGCACAGAUGAGACAUACCGCAUAUUUCUUGCCCUCAAGCAGCUUACUGAUACCCACCCAAUCCAAAGAUGCCGCUUCUGGGGAAAGAUCUUGGGUCUGGAAAUGAAUUAUAUUGUAGCUGAAGUGGAAUUUCGUGAGGGGGAAGAUGAAGAGGAAGUGGAAGAGGAAGAUGUAGCUGAAGAGAGGGACAAUGGAGAAAGUGAAGCUCAUGAAGAUGAGGAAGAUGAAUUACCAAAGUCCUUUUACAAGGCCCCACAGGCUAUACCAAAAGAAGAAAGUAGAACAGGUGCCAACAAAUAUGUCUAUUUUGUUUGCAAUGAACCAGGAAGACCAUGGGUGAAGUUACCACCAGUUAUACCUGCACAAAUUGUUAUUGCAAGAAAAAUCAAGAAAUUUUUCACUGGGCGAUUGGAUGCUCCCAUCAUAAGCUACCCACCUUUCCCAGGAAAUGAGAGUAAUUAUUUACGAGCACAAAUUGCCCGAAUUUCAGCAGGAACCCACGUCAGUCCUCUAGGAUUUUAUCAGUUUGGUGAAGAGGAAGGAGAGGAGGAGGAAGAGGCAGAAGGUGGGCGAAAUAGCUUUGAGGAAAACCCUGAUUUUGAAGGCAUCCAAGUGAUUGAUCUAGUAGAAUCCCUAUCCAAUUGGGUUCAUCAUGUACAGCAUAUUCUCUCUCAGGGUCGCUGUAAUUGGUUCAACUCCAUACAAAAAAAUGAGGAAGAAGAAGAGGAAGAAGAUGAAGAAAAAGACGAUUCUGACUACAUAGAACAGGAAGUGGGGCUUCCUCUUUUGACACCAAUCUCUGAAGAUUUAGAGAUUCAGAAUAUACCCCCCUGGACAACACGGUUAUCCUCAAAUCUCAUUCCACAAUAUGCUAUUGCAGUCCUUCAAUCCAACCUUUGGCCUGGAGCAUAUGCCUUCUCCAAUGGCAAUUUUACAGACCUGGAGACCAAGAGGAGGAUGAGAGGGCUAGAAGUGAAAAAGUGCUGAGCACAGAGAGCAGAGAAAGGAGGGGCUGGAAAGGCCUCUGCUGAAGGCCUCAGAUAAAGAGACCUAGGAACGGAAGCACCUGGUCUAGGAAUGCAAACAUUGAAGAGCAUGACGAGCCAAAGGGGCCAGCGUCCUUGACUGCAACUUCCCGUAAAGACAGCAGUGCAUUGUACUCCAAGUCUGAUGUGCCAGAAAGUUUGAAAAUUUCUACAUAGGCUGGGGUCAUAAGUAUAGUCCAGACAAUUAUACACCCCCAGUUCCACCACCAGUUUAUCAAGAAUACCCCAGUGGACCAGAAAUUACAGAAAUGGAUGAUCCUAGUGUGGAGGAGGAGCAGGCUUUCAGGGCUGCACAAGAAGCAGUUCUACUCGCAGCUGAGAAUGAAGAAUCUGAGGAAGAUGAAGAUGAGGAAGAUGAUUAUGACUAAUAAACAUAAAAUUAGCCUGGUUUUAUGUGACACUGAUACACACACACCCCUUAUAUGGGACUAAUUUUACACUUUUCUGUGUUAUGUGUGUAUAUACAUACACAUGUAAGAAAUUAUUCAACUGCAAAAUCUCAAUCUUGAAAAUCAAGCUUGAAAUUUCAUAGGUAGAAAUAUUAGCAUUUUUAUUGAAAGAUACUCACAGGAUUUUCCAGAGGCUAAAUAACAUGCAAUUGCAUAAUUGUUCUGAGGGUUAUGGAUAAUGGAAUAUGUGUUUGUACAUUCCUGUUUUUAAAAGGGCUCAGGUUUCACAUGGUCCAGGUGAGGUAAAACAAUUAAAAUAAAUAAAUAAAUGGUCUCAGGUUUAAUUUGUAAUACGACAAACACUGGAAGAUAUAACCCACAGGAAAUUCUUGGAAACAUCAAUACUUUUUAAAGAGUGUCAAGGGGUAUGAAGACAAAAAAUAUUGAUAGUCACUAGAGUAAUGUAUUCUUAACCUUUGUAAGAACUGAUCUCAGCAUGUAUUCUUAAACCUUUGUAAUUACC